rnacentral:lncRNA from 7 species
AGACCUCAUUUAAGGGCUGGUGGUGGAGGUGAGGAUAUUUUGCUGGAGGUCCAUGUUUUCCUUUCAGGAUGGUGACCCUGUCUGAGGGAAGCUGAUGAAGCCCUACAGGAGGGAGAUCUGAGUCAUGAGAGCCUUCUCAUGGAAAUUUACUUCCUGGCCUCCUUUCUGCUGCACACUGAGAACAGAAGAUGAACUAGGACGUGGUAGAGGGAAGCUGCAAUGGUCCCAGAGAGAAGCAGAGGAUUGCUGGCUUAGAAGAAAGCUUGCUUCCCAGGUUUGAGUGUUAGCUGAACCACACAGAGGACUGGCUGUGACCAGACAAAAUGGCCUUGCUGAAUUAAGCCAGACAGAAGAAACAAACCCCCUAAAAAAUCAUGUCCCAACAGGUAAAAGGCACGCUCCCUGGAAAGGCAAGGCCGGCAAAGCUGUGCGCCGGCCCCAUGCACCAGGCACCUGUGCUCAGUGCACCCGGCCUUCGGGGAGAGAAGGAGGGAGCCUCGAGGCACCAGCAGCCCUGGGAGACAUCAUGCAUCUCACCUUUCCUCACUGGAAAGAGCUGC